GGCCGGAUGGUGUAGUUGGUUAUCACGUGUCCUUAACAAUUUGUUAUUAUAUCAAUAGUAGCAGCUGUUAUACGGACAAGGUCCUGGGAUCGUGCCCCAGUCUGGUCA